CUGCAGCCCUAGCGAGGCCGAAGCUGAAGGUUGUCCUCUUCCCGCUGCCCUAGGAGCGCUAAACAUCCCCAGAAGAGCCCUUCGGACUUCGUGGGAUGUCCGCUUCCUGGGACCCCAGGUCCAAGGGUAGUAAAAUCGGGGGGCACUGCCAGCUUCGUUCGGGGACAGAACGUCCUCUCUGUGUUGGGAACCCGAUCGAAGCCAAAGCGACAGCGGCCCCGCACAUCUCACCGCGAGCACCCACGCCGCUGGCGCCCAGUGGGGUGUGGUCGGAUACACAGGCGGGCAGCUGCUGAAACUCAGUAGUUCCUGGAUCUUCACUAUUUGGCCCCAGGAUGGUUUCUCCCCGCCCUCAUCAGGUGCAACUGGUCUCUGCACUAUCUGCAGCCCUGCAACUACCCUGACCUGCAUGAUUCCACACCGAUUCCAGAGAACUACCAGGCUGCAGAGGCUGAAGGCACAGGCAUGGGACUUACCACGGUGAUUUUCCGGAACCAGGGAUUGAACCUGGGUCUCCUGGAUUGCAGGCAGAUUCUUUAUCGACUAAGCCACCUGGGAAGCCCUAAUGGUUAAUAACAGACCAUUUAAAUAUAUAUAUACAGUAGUCUGUGUGUACUUUUGGGGGCAUUUCCUAGAUUAAUUUUCCUGGAAGACAAACGUUCCUGCUCCCCUUCUACGUUGC
ensembl:lncRNA